CCUACGGGUGGCAGCAGUGGGGAAUAUUGCACAAUGGGCGCAAGCCUGAUGCAGCCAUGCCGCGUGUGUGAAGAAGGCCUUCGGGUUGUAAAGCACUUUCAGCGGGGAGGAAGGCGGUGAGGUUAAUAACCUCAUCGAUUGACGUUACCCGCAGAAGAAGCACCGGCUAACUCCGUGCCAGCAGCCGCGGUAAUACGGAGGGUGCAAGCGUUAAUCGGAAUUACUGGGCGUAAAGCGCACGCAGGCGGUCUGUCUAGUCGGAUGUGAAAUCCCCGGGCUCAACCUGGGAACUGCAUUCGAAACUGGCAGGCUAGAGUCUUGUAGAGGGGGGUAGAAUUCCAGGUGUAGCGGUGAAAUGCGUAGAGAUCUGGAGGAAUACCGGUGGCGAAGGCGGCCCCCUGGACAAAGACUGACGCUCAGGUGCGAAAGCGUGGGGAGCAAACAGGAUUAGAUACCCUAGUAGUC
rnacentral:rRNA from 1 species